AUCCCCUAGGAGAGAGAGGUGGUGCUGAGAUGGCAUCUACACGCGGUGUCACUGCAAGGGACUACACCCCCACACAUACCCCUGCAAGCUCUGGGAAAGUGGUUCCUGCCAUGCAGAAAACUGCAUUCACUACAUGGAGGGCACCUUCAGAGAACUUUUCUCAAUACAGACACAUUUCUUACUGUAAGGACACCCUGAUCAUCGCUGAGCUCUCAACACUUGGACACUUCCUUUGACGCCAGCCCUCCCGGUCCUCACGCGGGCUCCCUGCUUGCAAAGCUGAGGGACAGAGUGGAGUGAGCAUAGAUGGCAGAGUAGUAGGUUCACAAGCUCGCCUCUCGUGACAAAAACGACAACCAACUACUGAACAGCCAUCAAGAAAAAAGACUGGAACCUAGUAAAAAAGAUCAUCUUCAACCGAAAACAGAAGUUGGGAACCACAGCGGGAAGGUAGGAGGGGCGUGUUCGCGAUAUAAUCGGGCCCUAUACCCCCCAGGUGGGCGACCCACAAGCUGAAGAAUAAUUGGGUCAGAGGCCCUCCCACAGGAGUGAGAGUUCUGAGCCCCAAGUCAGGCUCCCCAGCCCCAGGUUCUGGCAUUGGGAGGAGGAGGAGACCCCAGGACAUCUGGUUUUGAAGGCAUGUGGGGCUAACUCCAGGAGCCCCACGGGACUGGGGGAGACAAAGGCUUCAUUCUCUUGGGAAGCAUGCAUGGGAUCUCACAUGGGCUGGGUCCAGGGGCACAGACAGUGAUUUCAUACAAACCUGGGCAGGUCUGCUUGCUCGUUUUGGAAGGUUUCUUGGGGACAUAGGGGACUGCUGCGGUUCACCCAGGGGGCAUAAAAGCUGAUGGCAGACAUUCCAGGAGUGUUAAUCUACAUGAGCUUUCCUGAAUACUGACAUCUGGAUUGGAUCAUUAUCACCAAGACCUAGCCCCAUCCAACAGCCUGUAGGCUUAAGGGCU